AAAAAAGCAGGGUUUCGUUGUCUUUUUUUAAGAACGAAUCUCUCGUAGACUUCAGGAAAAACAAAUUCAUUGUUUUUGGGUGAACCUAUGGAUUUUUGUAAAGUACCAAUGGGUUCAGUUAAUGAUGAAACAUUU